rnacentral:rRNA from 1 species
UGGGGAAUAUUGGACAAUGGGCGCAAGCCUGAUCCAGCAAUACCACGUGAGUGAUGAAGGCCUUAGGGUUGUAAAACUCUUUUAGUGGGGAAGAUAAUGACUGUACCCACAGAAAAAGCACCGGCUAACUUCGUGCCAGCAGCCGCGGUAAUACGAAGGGUGCUAGCGUUGUUCGGAAUUAUUGGGCGUAAAGCGUGCGUAGGCGGUUUAGUAAGUCAACUGUGAAAGCCCAGGGCUCAACCUUGGAAUUGCGGCUGAAACUGCUAGACUAGAGUAUGAAGAGGGAUAGUGGAAUUCCUAGUGUAGGGGUGAAAUCCGUAGAUAUUAGGAGGAACACCGGUGGCGAAAGCGACUAUCUAUGCCAUUACUGACGCUGUUGCACGAAAGCGUGGGUAGCAAACAGG